UUUCCGUAGGUGAACCUGCGGAAGGAUCAUUAACGAAUUCAAAAGUCGGUCGACCGUGCUGGCGGAGACGCACAUGCACGUCGGUCGCAAACCCAAUCCACACACCUGUGAACGUACGGCCUCGGAGUCGUGAGACCUCGGGGCACACCAUUUUUCACAUACUCUGUAAAAGAAUGUACCUGUGCCUAGCGCAAAAACUUAACAACUUUCAACAACGGAUCUCUUGGCUCUCGCAUCGAUGAAGAACGCAGC
rnacentral:misc_RNA from 1 species